GCAUCGUACUGGGAACCCCUCCUGCCUGGCAGCGUUUUUCUGGGAGAAAAGACAAACCUUUGAAACUCUUAAGACUGUAACAUUAACGUGUAAGCGGACAUAGAGGUUUUUCGCUUCCACCAGGUGCAAUGUCAAAGGCUCUUUCGUUUUCCUUUUUUCGCUAUCGUAGUACAUGUAGCCAGUUAGGAUAUGAGGUUGAAUCCCGUUGCUUUUAACUUGCAUGCUCUGGUAAGCAUAAGCCACGAGAGGUACGUAUUACCUACAUGGGCAGGUGGUGUGCAAACGUCGUCUUUCACUGGCCACUACACGGUUAAUCGUCCCUGCGAACACUGACAGCGAAGGUCCCAAACAGCCCCAAAAUAAGGCUGGGACAUGGCUUGAAAUAAAUGCAAAGCAUCAAUCGCGCAGGAUAACAGAGUUCUAACAGCAAGCCAGCACACCCUGGUGUGGCCUUAUUCUGCCAGGUGGCAUCCUGUGUACACUUACAGACUAUAAAGGUGAAACUUGAGAACUCCCUAUAACAGGGGACAUGCUGUUGUUUACACUUUAAAAAAUGAAACAUUUAAAGAGCCAGCCUAUUGUCUCUUCUUGCAUUUUUAAUGUAGCCAGAAAAAGAGUAUUUUAUGUGAUGCAACAGGUUUGCCUCCACAGUAGCACAGAGAUGACAAAGUUAAUCUAGGACAAACAUGGACUUUGAUAAGUCUUUCAUAAUUUCUUUCUCGUACUUGUAACGUAUGGUUACUUCACUGGCUUAAAGCUGAAGGGGACCUUAAAAGUCAUUUAGGGCUGUCAAUUUAAAGAUGAAAGUUGAGAACCCCAAAAGCCCCAGAACCAGUUAGUGACCAAGUCAGGACUUGAAGCCCCGUCACUGUCACCAGUCAGCAGGCUCUUUGUGGACAUGCUUCCUUCCACGGCUACUCCCCUGUGUAAAACUAUGCCCGCCUGGAUUUUUACACAAUCCAAGAGCUGUAGGAACCAUAUUAAAAGCAUUUCAUCCCAAAUCAUUCUAAAAUGCAUUAUGAGGGGAAGUAAUAUUUUUAUCAUUUAAAAAAUUUCACAGUCUCUGAAAAUAAAUUUUGUGUUUUGAUAUUGGGUGGGUAAUCAGGAAAGGAAGCAUCCUCAUUCCCCCAUUUUCAGAGAAUAAACAGAAUUUUCAAGUUGGUGAAGAGGUAUUUAGCGUGAGUGACUACAGAACAGAGGCAGCUGGAUUGUCACAGGAUUUAUGACCUUAACUAUAAGACCAGGUGAAUUUGGUUAAGCUGUAAUUGAGCAAGUUAAAGUGGAUUUGAAUCCCUUUCAGUUUACUCUAGGCACGAGGAGGGUGCCUUCUUCCUUUUGUGCAGGUAGCUUCCUUCAACAGCCCAUCAGCCUUUCUACUUUGGGACUCUUCCUUAGGCAUAGAACCCCAGACUUGAGGGAAAGGAUUUUAUGCACCUGGACAACUUCUGUCGUGCAGAUUCCCUUCUCUGGGAAGCCCUUCAAUCCUGCCAGGGCUACCACACCAGGAAAAUGGGGGAAAAAAGCUCUACUUCUCACCAGUUUCCCUCUCCUCUUCAUCUCCCAUCCUCCUUAAAAAUCUCCAAAUGAAACCUGUAUGUAAAUUAACCCCAAAUCUGUAUGUUUACGUUUCCCUUAGGUUUAAAACAGUGUAAUUCACAUGUUUCAUGCCUUUAAAUUCCUAUGAGCUGCCACUUAGUGCAGAUCACAGUUGUCCAAAGAAAUUAUUUCAAAUACUAAAGAUGCAUGGAAGUUAAAAAGCGAUUGGUACUGACCAAUAGUGAUUAAAAGUGCAUUUAGAGCAGAAGCAGUGGGAAUUCAGGACAGCAUAUUAACAGUAUGUGUAUCUUCCCGUAUUAGAUCCAUGUUAUCUCUCUAAAUCAAAAAGUCUUAAUUAGCCUUAUAAGGAAAAUUUAUGUAGCCUUCUGUGUCUGUGUGGUGCUAACAUCUUAGCAGUUAGAUGUUUUGAAACUGCCCAGUCUUGCAUAAAGUGGUGGAACUAAAUGUGUUCUUUAAAAUUCCAUGUUGCUGUGAAAACCCAAAAAAGCUGACAUAAUUAGCUUCAGUGUUUAGUCAAAAGCUAAUGGGAAGAAAUGGAUUAUGGUUUUUCAUCAGAUUAGUUCAGGCAGAUGUGCUCCUUUGUAAACCACUCCCCCCCCCCAAAAAAAAAGUAACUCAUGCCAUUCUGAAACUGUGCUGAAAAUGUUCAGGUUUAGAGGGGAAAGAGUGGUUAUCCAUUGUGAAUAGAGUGAGUACCCUGCACUUUAACUUCACACUUUUAGAGUCUGUUUCUGGCACCACCGUGGACAUUUGUCAUGGACCAGUGGAUCUUUGCCUUGGUUUUGAUCUUUGUUGUUCCUGUAUUUUCUAGUUUUCUUUAUAUACUUAGGUUCUCUAUCACACCUGAAUGUACUAACAGUUUUAUAGCUAAAAUUUAGAAGGUAUAGGCAAGUCUAAUAUGUUGAGAGCAUAGACUAUAAUUUCUGAGCCAAACAUUUAUUUUGUAAAUUUGGUUUAAAGGCAGCGAAUACUGUUUUUAUACUUUCAACGCAAUUGUUACUGGCACUUUGGUAAAUUUUUAACAAAUUUGUGCCACUAGCAGACAGCCAUAAUUUCAAAUAGGAUAUUGCCUAGCACCCUUUACAAAAAGGAAUUAUAUGCUGUUCAAUACUAAUUUGAUGGAUGGUAAAUCUUUGAUGUAAAACUUAAAAUUGAAACCAAGAUACCCCCCCCAAAACAACUUUGUAAACCAACUCUGGAAUUUCCCUGAAUUUUAUAAUACAUAAUACAUAUUUUCAUGAGUUUGAUCUUUUUAAAAUUGUACUCAGGUUGUGCUUAAUGUAAAAAGCAGUGUUAAAAUAAUGAAGUACAGAAGUUAAAAUAGCACCAUGGAAUUUUUAGAAGAAUAGUUUCUCUUCUACCUUGACUUUUUUUUUUUUUUUUUUUUUUUUUUUUUAAAUCGGGAAGCUCUUUUCCUGUUUUGUUUUGUUUUGUUGAGUCUAUACAAAGAAGUUGCACUGUCCUUUAGGAUUAGAGCCAUAUUCCUAAUUUAGAGGAUGAAUAAUUUCAUUUUUCAUCUAUUGGAAUUAUGGAGAGUCCUUGAGUAAUAGGGGCUGAAGACAGUUAAGUUGUCAGAGGGAUUCCUCCUUUCUCAGACUGGAAUCUCCAGCUGGAAUCUCCACCAACCUAAAUGGGAUAGAGGUGAAGGGGCUGACAGUCAACUUUGGGUCUAUCAGGUAAGGCUUUAGGACUGGUUAGCCAUGGGUCACAGUUGUCUCUAGGCUUCUCAAAGCAGUCUUUAGUUUUUUAUUCCAGACCUGUUUAUAUGAUCAUAAGUUUAAAGAAAAUGUUCAUAUUGAUAGCUAAUGGUUAAAUACAUAUUUUUAUGCCUUAGUCUAGUCUUACGUUGUUCUUGAGUCUAUAAGUCAGCUAUUGACGAUUAACCCCUUUUUAUUAAAGAUCAGAUGUAGGAAUAAUCUACCUUGACAGACUAAUACUUUUAUUUUGAAACUCAGCUUUACAGUUUAUUUGUAUGGGUAGUUCUGAUGUGGAAAAUAAUAUUUGCAUAAUACUAAAAGUCACAAUUUGAAGACCUGACUCCAGAGGAACUGAAAUACUCUCAGUUUACCUCACCUAUCCUGCUCAUCCUGGUCUGAAACGCACUUGAUAUUAACAAUGGGCAAAUGCCAGAUUCCCCCACCCUUCGGUCUUUCCCCAGAGCAGGUAGGUCAUAGAAUGUUAAUAAAAUCUUUUUUUUCUCUUUAAAUAAUGAAUAGAUGAAUAAAUUCAAAUUUCAAUGGUCUAAGUACUAGAGUAGAUGCUGACUGUUGAAUAUUAAUACAUGAAAGCAAGAAAAGACUGUGAAUGGAUAAUCAAUUACGUUCAGCUUAAUUUUCUGGAAGCUGUUGAUAAUUUGAGAGGAGUAUUCUGUCUUCCUCUUUAAACUAGGCCUGAGAACCUAGUUAAGGGUAUGAAAAGUGGUUAAAAAGUGCAUUUUCAAGUCAAUGCUUCUGUAUGUCUUCGGUGAGCUGGUAAAAUAAACCAUCCUAAGAAAUAUAUCUUAGUAUUUCACAUAUGCCUUUGUAUGACAUCUGAAUUUUUGGAUUUCAGUGGAGAGCUUACAUAUUUGUAUUGAAUUAUUCCAUAAACUGUGGUAGUACAAAUUCUUUAUUAAGGAGAGUUUAAAGCAUGUGUCUCAAUGUCAGAGAAGAGGAAUACCCACAGACCAGUAUGAGUGAUGAGGGACAAAUAUACAUGGGUAGAUCAGCACUACAUUGGAACCUGAUUAUACCCUCUGGCCCAAUAGAGAACCUGUGGCCUUUUAAGUUCUUUAUGGUUCUACAAAACCAUAAAAAUGUAUGUGUUUGUCAAAGAUGAGUUUUGAAUGGUCAAAUAGGAGCAUCUACCUGGUGGACUCCAGAGAUAGUAUGAAAUGCUUGACCCUAAGCAGAUCUACAUGGUAAAGGAGAAACCAGCAUUUGGUAUUUAAGGAAGAGAUUCUUUCUUUGGGGAAACUAAGUCAUGACUUUUCCCUCAGUUCUUAGCCUACUUUCUUGUUUAGUGUUAAGUAAUUGAACUACCUCUAACUAACCACGCCCCCACCCCUUUACCCCCACUCCCAAACCUGUUUAAAGAUCGUUUACGCAAACUAUGCAAAUUUUUUUUUCUGUUACUAACAGUAUGCUGUAAAAAUGAUAACUCUCUGAUUUUUAAAAGUAAAUAUAUUCUCUGAGCCAUAAAGUGUUCAUUCAUCUGUAUGAAUCCUUAAAGAUAGCUCAGCUUAUUCAUUGUACAGUAGAUGAAACUGAGACGCAAAGAUUCUUCUGGAAAUCACAUUAGAGUUGAGGGUGGAAGAAGCCCUAUCUCAACAUGCUCACUGUCUUACCAUGGUUUGCCUCCUAAAUCAAAUGCCACUGAAGUGUAUAAAUGGACUGGCCAUAUUCAUUAUUGGAAGGCCUUAAUGUAGGAUGAGUACAAAACACAAUUCUGCAGUAUUAUAAAUCUGAGUUUAUAUUAGUUAAGUUACAUGAACUGUACUCAUUGUUUUUUAAAUCUUAUUAGCGGCAUGAUUUAGAAGACCUCUUCUUUUUAAAGCCACUCAGGAAAAGUUUGAUGUGGCAUUUUUUUCUCUUUAUAAAGAUCUGUGGGAAGCCGAGGCAUUUGUAAACAUUCAGUUGGACAUUCUUUACAAAGAGAGGUGGGGAAGCAAAAGAGAAGAGAGACAGCUUAGAGAAAAGAAGUGUGAUUGUGUGGGGGAGUGCUUUCAAACUAUAAAUGUGCAUAUUCUUUUGACAUUGCAUCAUGUGUAACAGAAGAAUUGAUAGCUGGCCUGCAGGACUGUAUUUUUCAAAAAGUAGACAUACAUUUAAACAUUACACCACUAUGGGUUCUAUAUUGUGGGAGCACAGUUCUCUUUACCCAAAUAGGUCCUGAAGAGUCUCCAGAUGCCCUUGCCUGUUCCUGCUCCAACCACUUGCAGUGCUGUGGUGGUGAGAAGGGCUGGUCUGGAGGCAGAUGACCUGAACCUGAAUCUCUUCCAUUUCCAGCUCUUUGACCUUAAAGGAGUUACAGUUUAAUCUUUCUGAGCUUCACUUUUCUCAUUUGUAAAAUGAAGACCAUAAUGGCACCCAUUUUGUUGGAUCAGAGGUCUCAAAUGAGAUCAUCCACACUGAACACUUCGAAAGAUGUUCAGCGUGCCCAGUGUGUGUAUGAUAAAUGCCACUUGCUAUUAUUAUGGUUAUUAGUUGCUACCUAAAGCUGUCAAUCUAAGAUUACAUUGUUUCAUACUGUUUAGUAAAUCAGGAAGUGGAUAAUGAAGUUUCAAAAAGUUACCAAAAACAGUUCAAAUUAAGUUUAGUGCUUAAAAGGAUACAUUUCCAGUUCAUCAAGAUGAUCUUUCCAGACAGCUAUGAUUUUACUGUGUUACUGUCAACUCUGAUUUUCUCAGAUUCCUUCCGAAUUCCAAAAAACUUCAGGUAUCUUUAAAAUGAUAGACUUCUUCAGCUUCUGUACUUCAAGUAUUUGUUAAAGAAUUAGUUUCUUUCUCAUAGUCAAAUGUGCUUAUUGCUGAACUGCCAUCUUCUCAGAGCCAUCACAGUCCUUGAGUUACCUCUUAGGCAUUGAAACUGUUCCCUGAAAUAGAUUGAGUUAAGUGUGUUUUAACCAGUUUUACCUUUGGAGGAAUGUUUUUAAGAAAUGAGAAGAAAAUUAUUUUAGACUUGACAGAAAUUUACUUCAUCAUGAUCAAUGCUAUAAUCAGAGCUCAGUCUAUCCCCUAACAAUCAAAAUUCACAUAAAGCAUUUAUACUUUAUAACUCAAAGGUUUUGCCCUUCUUUGAGAGCCAUGAAUUGAGAUUUAUUAGGGUUUCUGGCCCAGAAAGACCUCUGAGAUCCUGAAACCCAGUACUCAUUUUCCAUGAGACACAGGGCCCAGCGAGCUGUGACUUCCUGAAAUUCCCCCCAGUGCACUAAAGUCAGAGCUGGGAACUGCGUCUUAGCCUGAAGGCUCCACUCCACAGGUGAUUUUUUGACUCUAAUGAGAUCAUAUGUUUUGGAGGCUGGCUGGCCUGGCCCUCCCUCCUCCUCAGCCCUGAAUGGCAGACCAGCAGUGAGAAGCCCCACUGAGACCAUCCGAGAAGGACAGGAACAUCUUUGCUUGGUAAGGUAUUGCCUGAGAAAGCAAUGCUGACUAAUUCCUUUGCUCCAAAGAAGGGGGCAGCACUGCCCUACUCCCACUGGGUCCUGACACAGACUUCUGUGAUCAUUAGGUACUUGAAAGAAAACCAGAUGAGAUUAGGCUUAAGAGCAUUUAAAAGGUGCAGCCCUCCUUUCCAUCUUGAAUACUCUGGCAGUUGCUUUAGGUACACUGAUGCCCAGGAGUUGAGCAGAUAAUCCAGAACAGAGAUAAUAAAAUUAAAAGGCCCGCUAUCCUUUGUAGUCACUUGUCUUUUGUAACUAGAAUGCCUGCCUCCAUCAAGUCCUUUUUUUUCAGUCCAUUUGUGUCCUGGUUCUUAAGCUUAUCAAAGGCCCAGUUCCUGAUUUGCCUCACUGCUUUCCCAUCACUCUUGCUCUGCAUCUGUUCAUUUAGUGACAGGCCAUAUUAUAGUAACUUUCCUUUGCACUUCUUCACACUUUGGUAUGUGGGUCCCCCACUGGGUUGUCCUGUCCCCAGUCCUUAGUUCAGUGAGGGCACUUGGUGUGAGAGGAGGCAUGGAAGAGAGGGAUGAGGACAUGAGGAAGCACACCAGCUUCCUCCGGGGGGUCUAAUAACAGCAUGCCAUAUGCUGACACCCUCUUUGCUACAGACUAGCAGGGAUACCUGUUUGCCGAGGGUGUGCGUUUAUGAGGAAGGGUGUGGCCAAGAGGCAUGUAAACAGUCUGUGAACUGAUGCAGAGGGAACUUAAGCUGUGCAAAGACCAUGAGCUAUUGCUGGAAUCUAUCUACCAAGUCCUUUCUCACUGAAUGGUCUCUUCAAAGUCCUAUGAGGAGCACUUGAUUUUUCUAAGGGUCCAGAAGGCCCAGAGACAGGGGGUCAGGGCUCAUGAUCCCUGCUGGGGGUAGCCAUGUCCAAAUUCCAUGAGCUGAUGUUUGGGCAUGAUUGUCUGACCCUAGUUCCCCUUUCACAACAGUAUGUGCUGGAACUGUGUAAAGUGUGUGUUUCCUCACUGACUCUCUGUCAGGGUAUAAGGCUAAAGGACAGCCCUGUGGAAUGAUUAAGGAAGCGCAGGGGUGUGUUCCCAGUCUCAAAACCUCAUUCCCAGCUGCCUGAAAUUUUGCCAUCAGUGCCUCCCUUUCAUAGAUGUAUUGCUUCUUAAAGGCCGCUGUUAAAAGCAUAUCACUCAAGUUGCCCAGCAGAAAUUAUUAUGCUUUGAGAUUUGUCUUAGCAAGGGCGAGAAUAGGUUUGUAGAAGAAGGAAAUAUCUUUCAUUGUCUUAUUUCAUUGCAAACUAAUGCUGGCCAGGGGUGGGUGGUGGUGGGGAGAACAUUUAGAAGUACACAGGAACAGAAAAAGGAAAAAAAAUAUCCUCCACAGUCCUAUCAUUUAGUCACAGGUAAUAUCAACACUACUUCACCCCAACAUAUAGGGUUUUUCCCCCACAGUUAUAACUGUGUCAUUUUAUGAUAAUAUAAUAUAUGUAAUUGAAGUAUCAUAGUUUGUGUAACCAUUCCUUUGGAUCUGAACAUUUAGAUUAUUUCCAGUUUUUAUUUUCAUAUAAAAAAUGCCGAGAUAAACACCUUUGUCCAUUAAGUUUCCAUAUCAUUUUUUAUUGCUCUAACCCCCCAUAAGUAGGAUUUCCCCUUGAAUUCCUAGAAGAGGAAAUGAAUGGAUCAAGGGAUCAUAGUACAUUUUGAGGGCUAUUUUCCGAAAAGAAUUUAUGCUUCCACUUGUAAUAUAGUGACUGUAGUCUAUUGAAUCUUUAUAAAUUUCAUAGGUGAUGAAACAGUAUCUUGUAUAUUUAAUUUGCGUUCCUUUGAGCAACAAUUUCUUCUGUGUUGGUUGACUAGUUGCAUUUCCUCAUUGUGAGUUGGAUAGAACAAGGAAGUUAUUAAAGGGCAGGAUUUAUGGAAAAGGCAAAGCCUGGAAGCCCAAGGAGUGGGGUGUCCAUCAAAGAAGGUGGAUCUAACAAGCUGGCUGGUUAGACAUGGGCUCCCAAAGGAGGCAAGGUCCUAUAAGGUGAUAGACAGCAUUUUAUUUAAAAAAACAAAAAACAAAACAUACAAAAAAACUUACAAUAAUAUUUGCUUCCUCCCUGAGUUGGACCCUUAGAAUAAAAAAGUAUUCUUUAUCGAUAGGGGUACUUACCAAGAACCUUGGAACAGUCUGCUUUUCCGCAGCUAAGACCCAGCCAGCUUCCAUAAGCUCAUCUUCAUUGUUAAGUUCUAGUUGGGCUUUUGCAUCAGAUAUUUGAGGAAAGUAUUGGCCUCUUUAAAGAUCUGGGGAAGGAAGGAGACAUCCUUCUCCUUCUAGAAUCAUCAGGAUGGUUUCUUAAUAUUUUAAGAUUAUAGUUGAAGAUCAAAAAUAGUCUAAACAGAAUUUCAGAAGUGAUUUUAGUGAUGCCAGAAAAUGGCAAGUCUUAACAAAGCUGAUUUCUUACAGAAGAAAAAUUAUGUUAUUUAUUUUACAGGUAUUUAAUGUUUUAAAUAUGAUAAAUAUGCAUUUUGCGUAAGGUAUUUUGAGAGUGCAAGAAAAGCAUGAUUUGCUUAUGAAAUUUGGGCUUUUUGUUUUUUGCUACUCCUUCAAAUAACGUGCUUUUAGUCAUGCGUUUUUAAGAUAGUGAGGAGCUGCACAUUUCAAGAUGUAUUUUUACUCUGACCUUGGUUAAUUCAUAAAAGUCUGCCAAACACCAGAACUGUUUCAAUUUGGCUCUGAGACUGCAUUAACAUGGUGAAUAACGAUUGACAUAAAUGUACUAUAUUAUUUUUAUAAAUUGUGGUUUAAGAUGAUAGUAAUUUUAGAAUGUUUAGGAUGCUGUUCUCCGAGACAUGUUAUUUUUGUAGUCAACUAGCAGUGUUGAAUGUUAUGAUGUAUCUAGUCAACUACAGGUUUUCAUCUCAUAAUUAGAAAUGUUUCAACAGUCCAUACUGUGUCCUCAGGAGUUAUUAGCCCGAGUCAGCAAUUUUAUAAGGCAUUCUUAUUAAGUGUAAAAGGACCUCUACUUAGUAAUUGGCGUGUAUUUAAUACAUUGUGUAUAUUUACUCAUAUUAAACAUUUUGGUUAGUCUUCAUUAUUUAAUCCUCCUAGGGAUUACUUAACUUUGGAUAUGUGAUGAAGAACUUAUUAGCUUAAAAAAAACAACAAAAAGGAAGCUGGGUGGGGUGGGCAAUUUAAGGAGCAUAAAAAAUGAAGAUGAUUUAUUAACUACUGCUUUAAGCUGUUUUAGCAGUUAGGGUGAAUAAAAAUUAUGAUUUAGUAAGUGGUCUAUCAAUAAUAAGAUAAAGCCAUAGCAUAGGUUAGAAGUACUUUCUCUUACUCCAAGAGAACUGUGAUGUUGGCUCUUCAUUGUUGUGAAUUGGUUCCAGGACUAACAUGUUGAGAGCGGGACAGAGCUUCCCCCUUAUGUACCUAAUGGGUCAGCUAACUCUGGGCCUUGCCCAUAAUAGGACUCCGUAAAUAUUUGUUGAAUGAAUGUGCUUAUUUAAGCAAACAUACCAAGAGGAGUUACUCAAGUGUGACACACCUACCCCCACUUUAAUUUUUUUUUUUUUACAUUUAUUUAUUUUUGAGAGACAGAGCACAAGCGGGGGAGGGGCAGAGGGAGAAGGAGACACAGGAUCCGAAGCAGGCUCCAGGCUCUGGGCUUGAACUCACAAACCGUGAGAUCAUGACCUGAGCCGAAGUCGGAUGCUUUACUGACUGAGCCACCCAGGCGCCUCUACCCCCACUUUAUGUAAUCACAUAAUCCAAAAACGGUGUCCACUCAUCUUUGAAGCCCCUUCUAUGAAUCAUCAUAGGCUACAAGCCAUUGUCUUUUGAGGGAAAGCUUGAUACUUUUUAACAGUCAAAAGUCAUUCAUAAUCAGAUCUAGUGAAUAGAAAUUAAUCAAUGUAGGAAAUACCUUUAACCAUUUUAAAGUUUUUUUCACAAUCAUUUAUAAAACGAAAACCUGUAUUCAUUUUCUUAUAUGAUUCAUAAACUGGCUGUGAAGAUUUUUCAUAAAAAACCUUUUGACCGGAUGUAACAGUGCUGAAAUCAAUGUAGAUACUUGUGAGAUAUUUUUGGAAGUCAACACUUAAUUGAAUAUAAAAGUUUGUGUUUGUUUAAAAGUUAGUCUGCUUUAUGUUUACAUUCACUAUUUUAUUUUUCAGGUGUGUGACUUUUAAAUUAGGUAGGGUCCUCAUUCAUUUCUAUUCAUUAUUAUCUAGAGUUGUGGACUACAUUUAUGAAGAGUUGUCAUUUUUCUUAGAUUUCAAUUUUAUACAUGAGACACCUAAUUAAAGUUGGUUUGGGUGUCCCCCUUCCUGCCGCUCCUGCCAGCAAAUAUUUUUGAGACAAUGAUGUUUUUAUAAGUAAUGUUUACAGUACCACCCUGAAAUGAAAAGUAAUAGGUUAGGGGUUAUUUUCCACUAGAGAAAUUAGAAUUUAAUAAAAAUUUCUCUGUAAGAAGGUGUGAUAUUUUGCAAAAGAACCUUGGUCUCCUGUUUUCCAAUUUAAUAUUUUGUAGCUCCUGAAAAGGGCCAUCUCAUAUAAAUAAUUGCACGGUAGAAGCUCUGUGAACUUUAUGAAUUUGCAAAUGGUCCCUUUUCUAAUUCAUUCUGCAGCUCACUAUUAGAUGAAUUUUCCUAAAACAUCACUUCUCUUAAGUCACUUAUCUCAGAGGUUUUAGUGGGUCUCUAUUUCCUGUGGAGUAACAAUUCAAACUUUAGCCAGCCUCAGAAUCCUUUGGAGGACAAAUUAACACAGAUUGCUGGGCUCUGCCCCCAGAAUUUCUGAUUCAGUAGAUCUGAGUAGGCCCUAGAAUUUGCAUUUUUAGCAUGCUCCUGGUUGAUGCUGAUACCACUGGCCAAGUGACUAGAGUGUGAAAAAUAUUGCUCUAGGAGGAAGUCUCCAUUCCUUGGGCUGGCAUUCAUAGUCUUCUAUAAAUCGGGCUCUGCUUCUUGAAUCAUACAUAGCUCUUAAAUUGGGAGAGACUUUAGCUUUAGUUAAACUAAACUAAACUGCCUUAGCUAAACUUGCAUAGUUACUGUCUCCAAAACACUUGUUUUGCCUUGUUUAGUUUAUUCCUCUCAGUUAGCAUGUCCUCUUACUUUCCCCAUGUUCCCCAUGAAGCCCUUUCUCACAUUCCCAGCCUUUGCUGCUCUUCCCUUCUCCAAAUUCCCAUGGCAUUUGUUAUCUCUGUCUUUGCCCUGUGGGUUGCUAAUUCAUGAGCAUAUAUGUUAUCUUCCAACUAGAUGUUAGACCCCCUGAGUAUGAAGAGACCUUUUUCUAUUCCAUCGGUUCGUGGUCCAGAAUUAACAAUGGAAAGAAAUUUGUCUUAAAUGUAACCAAAUUGAGAAACAAUUCAAGUCUAUCACCAAAAUUCUAGUCAGACAGUGAAGCACUGUGGCAGAGCAGAAUCCCUUCUGAGCCUCCCUUUCUACACCCGUGAAAUGGGGCUAACAUUUCUCUUGUGCAGAGUCCUUGUGAGAAUUAAAGUAGAAAAUGUAUGUGAAUCUCUCCGUGUAAUACCUGACACAUAGCAUUCAUUAUUAGUAUUUAUAGUAUUUUAUUUGUCAGUAACUAGGGAUUGGUUGGAGUAGUAAGCUUGGACUUUUGUUAAGAAAGGGAUUGUCGGUAAGUAAGUGGAUUCGAGAAGUCAUUUCCAGGAAAGAAGGGGAAGCUUUGGCCGCAGUAUUGUUGAACUAACCAAUGCUAGUUCACUUGUAUUUUCUGCUGUUACCUCUGUACUUUGUUGUUGUUGCCAAAAUUCCUGCUUCCUGUGACAGGAAAGUAAGCAUUGUUUUGCCUUGUUUCAAUUGUUAUCUCACAGAAGUGAUGUUCAUCCUUGGGAAGACCAUAGAGGGGGUGACUAUUUAUCAGUGUCCACUUACCUCUAGCUUCCUGGCCUGGUAUGUCACACAAUGCUCAAACUGACGGAGGAGAAAAAAAGCAGGGGAGAAUGAAAUCUGGAGAAAUACCUUAAAGGCAUGAAAAGAAAUAUUUUGUGAGCUGCAAGGCUGAAAAUGUUUCAUUCAGAGAUAGCUACAUGUAUAAAUUUAGCUCAAUAAUUAGGCAUAUGGCGCUUUCAUUUAGGAAGUAUCUACACCCUUUGUGAUAAGAUCCGCUGAUUAUUAGAGCCGCUGCAGCUUUAACCACGUCUGCGGCUGAGAUUCCUAGUGCAUUUAAAACAAGAAUUGAAGAGUGAAAUGGAAAACGGAACUAAUAAUUUGUUCUUGGUUGGUUUUAAUCUGCUCUUUAUUAACUUUGUAGCUUAUGCCUGGAGGAUUAGAUUUGGAAACAGAACAUCACUAAUGUUCUAAAAGUUUACUUCCUUUUAUUGGAACAUUAUAAUCUUCAAGGCUUUCUGAAGAACAUUUUAACUGAAUUUAAUCUUAACCUAAGAAACAAGACAUAAAUUCUUAUGAUUCAACCUAAAAUAAUAGAGGGUUUUUGACUUAUGGUAUUAUUUUAAUUUUUAAGUCAUGUCACAUUAGAUUUCAAAGUAGGAUUUAUUUGAUUAAAACUGAUUAGUGUAGAGAGCUAAAGGUAUUCUUUGCUGACCGUAUGUUUUAGUCUCCUUUUUUCUAGCUGUUUUUUUUGUUUGUUUGUUUUUUUAACGCCCCGCUCCCAAUCUAUUUGUUUCGGUCUUAGAAUUUUAAAUCUACUUGACUGACAUUGGUGGUAAGGAAAUAGGAAAAGCUAAAUUCAAAAGAAUCUUGCAUUUUCUAUGCCUUGACAAUGUUUCUAAAGUUGAUUGAAAUUGAAUAGACAAUAAUUUUAUAAAUAGGAGAGAGUCCUAUUCCAAGAUAUAGCAUAGUGUGAUGAACUAAAAUACAAAAAGUUGCCCUUGGGGGAGAUGCUGUGCAUCUAUUUCUUUCUUGAUGCUUCUUUAAUGUAGUUCCAUUAGAAUAUGCCUGUAAAUCUGGGAUUCAGUGUAGUUGCUUCUGUGGUUGUAGUUCUCCACCCACCUGUGAUCUGUAGAAUUACACUCUAGGUUUUCAUAAAGUAAAGGCACUAGAAUUUAGGCAUUUUGAAGGGACUUCUUUGGGGACUAGAAGUUUUAACAAACUAUAUUACCAGGUUUGAGUUAACUGACUAUGGAUUUCUCAUUAGGAAAACGUAUGUAUUCUUGAUAAGUAAAAGCUCUGACCUAAUUCCUCUAACUUGUCUUUGAUGUUGUAAUAGAGGUUUAGAAUUUUAGAGCUGAAUAUGCCGUAGAUAAUUAACUAUUAAUUUUAGCUGAAUUAGUUUAGCUUAAUUUAGCUAUAUUUUUUUCUUUCAUACUUUUUUAGUGUUCAUUUAGUUUUGAGAGAGAGAGAAAGAGAGAUAGCACGAGUGAGGGAGGGGCAGAGAGAGAGGGAGACACAGAAUCCUAAACAGGCUCCAAGCUUGGAGCUGUCAGCACAGAGCCCCAUGUAGGGCUCGAACCCAUGAACCAUGAGAUCAUGACCUGAGGCAAAGUCGUACGCUUAGCCAACUGAGCCACCCAGGCACCCCUUUUUUUUCAUACUUUUUAACCCAUGCUAUUAGUCAUCUUUCAUCCUUUUGUGUUUUCUCUCACAGAGAGGUGGUGCUAAUGACACAAAGGCAGAUAACAGUAGCAGAAGUGGGAUGUUAACUAGUCACCUUAAUCAUCAAGAAGGGACUAUGUUAUCAGCGGGGACUCUUGCUUUCCUCGAAGUUUAAGAGGUGAAUUCCAGACGUUAGCACUGGUAGAUCACCUUUUCCCUGACCUGUGGGGCACUUGCUGCAAGGUUUUAGAAUUCCUUAUGGAGAAAGCUGUCUAGUUACAUGAUUGGUUGGCAUGUCUGUGGGCCUUUGGCUCUCAGUGGAAUUGCUGGAAGGCUGUCUCAGGAAGGAAUGCCUUUGACUGAGUCAAAAUCUCAGGCAUCAUCACCAUAGGGUUGUUAGGGCUUUCCAAAGCACUGGGGGAUUUUUGCAGUCAGCACUUUCAAGAGCUGAUCUGAAGGUGGUAAACUAAACUGGUAAGGAGGGAAAUCCCUCUUCCAUCUCUAGGUGAGACCACUGCUCUUGCACUUCACUCUGGAGUACCCGGUCUUCACAAACCCCAGAGGCACAGAACACAUUAGUGAUCAUAAAAGAGAAUGUCUGUAUAUAAUGCAUUCUAGAGUUUUCCAUCAUUAUAUAAGAAGCCCCCCAUUAGCUGUUUCUUUCUUAAACAGAAUUUUGCCUGAAUAUUUGAGAUAACGCAUUUAUUCCUUAAAUGACUCUUAAACUUCAGCUAUUAAUUUGCAGAUAUAUUUAAUUUAUGAACAACAACAACAAUAGCCAUUAAUUUUCUCUUUUUCUCUAGGUUUAAAACAGAGGUAGCAGUUAGGACCACACAUUUAAUAAAAAAAUAUACUUUCUCAGUUACACUCUAUAACAUGCUUCCUUCUUCCUCCCAAUAGAAUGCAUGUUAUUCUUCUUGUUCUGAGAAUAGCCCCUUUAAGUGAUUUUCUCUGUAGCUUGAUCUAUAGAUAAUUAAAACAACGAAUAACUAGAUUUUUACAGUCUCAUCUUUGUAUGGAUUUUGUCUCUUUUAUCUGUAAUUUUAAUUCUAGAGGGAUGAGAAAUAUGAAAGUAAUUAUAGCAUACCAUUGUUGAGUGUUUACUUCUUAUUAGGCACUGUGCUAACCACUUUACAUACAUAAACUUGCUUAAUUCUCAGAACAGCCCUGUGACUUCAGUCUUAUUUUCCCCAUUUUACACAUAAGAAAUUGGGGUCAAGAAGGGUGGUGAAAAUUGCCUGGGGUUACAGAGCUUCUGGGUGGCUCACCUGGGAUUUGACAUUGGCUCUAUCUGGCCCUGGCACAAAUCUUCCCAAGACUGCAUUCACUCCUGGUGAAUGCACCCCCCUCCCCUUGCCUUGGCGUCCUUGAGGAUCUUACCUGUUUUGACUAAGGAACUGGGAGUCACUGGAGUCACUCCUUUGCCUGAGAAGUAAGGGGGAAACAGGAGCAUGAGGGUUGAUAUUCCAUCUCAGCUUGUGGCAAACAACCUGCUGGGUUUUUGUUUUUGUUUGUUUUCAUUUUAGUUUUCAGUUUGUUUGUGCUGUUGUGUCUUGUUUUUAGACUUAAUUCUGAAAGUAAAACCCAUGAUCAGUUUGUUUGCAAAGGCUUCUCUUAAUGAUAUUGUGGUCCACAUUCAGCACAUGUUUAUUAGUGUAUAUUAAUGUAAGCAUAUACACCUUAAUGAUAUGUUUAUACAUAAUGUAUACAUGAUUAUGUAUAUGUAUAUAAUUAUCUCAAAUUAUACGUUAAGCAUUAAUGAAAAUAAUUGGAAGUCCUGGAAAGUUGUUUAAGUCAAAAUGGAGAGAAAGAGGACAGUCUCUGAAAAAAGUCUAAAUUUGCUUCCUUUCUGGGGCAUGUGGGUUCAUUGGACUGUAGAUUUCAGCUCGGGUCAUGAUGUUACAGUUCACGAAUUUGAGCCCCACACUGUCAGUGUGCAGACUGCUUGGGAUUGUCUCUCUCCCUAUCUCUUUGCCCCUCCCCUGCACACACACACACACACACACACACACACCCUCUCUCUCUCUCUCUUUCUCAAAGUAAAUUUAAAAAACAGUUGCUUCCUUUUCUCCCCUUAGUCUUGGGGCAACUAUGACUCCUAAAUUUUAGAAUGAAUAAUCUUGCAAUUAUUUAAUUUUUAAGGGAGACAUUUCAUAAAGUAUGACCAUAGUAACACAAGUGAAAUAUUAAUUUUAAAAUUCAUGAUGAGGUAUAUUACCAAAAAAGAUUUGAGUCAAAGUAAGCAUCGUUACUGACUUGACGCUCAGAUUUUACAUAGAAGUAACAACAAAGCAUGUUUAAUUGGUCCUCGAUGAUGAUACAUUGGACAGUAUAACUCCUUCUAAAGUAUAUUCAGGUGGAGCAGUACAGUAAUCAUUCAUAUCCAAAUGUUUUUAAAAAACAACUUUAAUAUUAAUUUUCUAAAAUAAGCCAAAUGAAGAAACAUUUCCAACAGUGCUCUUUCCAGAAAUAUUUGGGAGUACUUCCUUGUACAGAGCACUGGAGAGACAACAGUAAGCAAGGUAUAUGAGACCAGUGCCAAUCUGGAAUCCACAAGGAUAGGGAGGAGAAGUGUGAUAAGUGUUCCAGUAGGGGAAGUUUGGGGUGCAGUGGGGGAGUGUGAUAGGGACCAUUAGCUCAGGUUUAGGAGUUUCAGGAAUACUUUCUAAAAGUAGUAGAGCAUUAGAGGGGAGUAGAGAUUAGCCACUUGAAGAGCAGGGGGAAGGGGGCACAGAAUAGGGAGAGGCCUGUGUGAAGGCCCCGAGGGUAAGCCAAAAACUGAACCAGCUAAAUGAGCAAUGAACCAGCAAUUGAGAAGCCAGUGCUAAUAAAUAAGCCAGAGAAGUAAAGCAGAGAAGGGAUCUCACAAGGUGUGUGGACUUUAUCUUGAGAUCUCUGGGAGCAAUGAAAGGGUUUUAAAUUGAGGAAAUAAUCUCAAGUUUGUAUUUUGGGAUAAGGUUGGAGUCAGGCACGUGUUGGGCUUUGCAGUAAUCCAGGUGAGAGGUGAUGAUGGCUUGUUUAACAUGGGGGCAGUGGGGAUAGCCAAAGUGGACAGAUUGUUGAGAUAUUUAAAAGAUAACAUUUACAGAACUUUGUGAACACUUACACGGAGACAGAUGAAGGAAGUAGAAUCAAAGACAGUGCUUGGGUUCCUGGUUUUUGUGCAUGGGGUAAUGGUGGGGACCUAGGCAAAGUAGAGGAAUGGAGAGGCAUGAUGGAUUUGGUUUGGCGUGCUUUGCAUUAAACGAGAAAGAUGUCCAAGUGUAGAAGGUCUCUCACAGGCAAUUGGAAAUAAAGAGCAAGCACUGCAAAGACAGGACUGAACUAGAGAUACCAAUCUUAAGACCAUCAAGCUGCAGAAGUAGAUAAGCUCUCUCAGGGAUACAGUAUCCUACUAUGAGAGUUCAAGACCUAAGGCCCGAGGAACAUCAACAUUUAAGGGAUGCACAGGGUAAGAGACACCAGGGAAGGAGCCAUCAGAAGCACAGAAAGAAAACUAGCAGAAUAUGGCACCCUGGGGCAUUUUUGGAUAUUUAACAUUUUAAGUAGUGAGUGUCAGCAGUGUCAAAUGAUGCUGAGAAACAAGAUAAGGACUAAGAAUUGGCCUGCAGAUUUGGUAACAAGCAGGCAGAAAUAGAUCCCUACUAGAACAUAUUCAGUGGUGUAUUUGGAGUGGAAUCCGUAGUGCAGGGGAGGGAAGGAAGUACAGAGACCUUUCUUCCAAGAAGGCCAAAGUGGUUGGAACUGGAGGGGUGGGAUGGUAGCUGCAAGAUGACUAGGGGCAGUGCAAACAUUAAGUACAGAAACAGUCAGCUUGCUGGGCACUGCCAAGCACACAUUUGGGGCUGGCGGCCGUGGAUUUGUGAUGGCUCCAUCUGCUCACUUGUUUGGUUCUUCUUUAGCAGGAUUCAGCCACUCUGACAUAGUUGAAGAAGGCAGACAAGUAGAUUGACGUAGUCUUGGGGUUUUCCCAAGUUUUGUUUGUUUGUUUUGUUUUGUUUUGUUUUGUUUUGAGAAUUUGAUGCAAGGAUCAUUUUUUUUUUUUUAAGAAUAUAAAUCCACUCAGGUUAAAGAAAGUGGGUAGGGAUAUUUAUUGCAAGAUAAGAGAGAUUAUGUCAUGGAUUCAAGUCAAGAAGUGCAGCAAGAUGCUACAGGGCCUAGAACUAUCAAGGGAUCUGGAACCAAGACUGCUAUGCCUCUAGUUUCUUAUCCUGGGUUACUUGAUCUUUUGUCUGUAGACAUAUCUGUUUUAUUCUUUCCUCUGCAAACAAACACUUUCUUUAGUUUCCACGGCCAAUGAGUUAAAGUACUAAUAUUCCAAAAAGUGUCUCAGAGACUAAAUUCUAAAUUACCAGAAUGGAGAAUCUGACCCAGCUGUAGUUAGGUGUCUAAUCCACUAUGGCCAAGUGGUAGAGUAUUGAUUUUUAAUACCAAUAUAGCCAUGACACGGAGCCCCUUGAGUGUUGGAGAAGACAGGGUUGCCUGGAUACACAGAGGUCUCCCUCCAUCUCUGCUGCAUCCAGCUGCUUUUCUUUUAUUGGAGGUUCCUUUGUCAUGGGACUACUUGUUAGAGGCGGAUUGUCUGGGGUUCUGUAUAUAUUCACUACAGAAAAUUCUGCCUCCUUGAAAUGACAGUUUACCAGCAUUUUCAUGUUGUUCCACUAACUAUGAUACAAACAUGCCUGCAAAACACUAGUUCAUGAAUCAAACAUACCUGCCCAGAGAUGUUCUCUAUUUAACAGCCUCUCAUAGUGCUGCUUCAUAAUGGGAUAAAGUUCAAAUAUUUUAACCUUAAUGGUGGCCAAUUCACACACACACACACACACACACACACACACACACACACACGAAUUUGAUUCCACGUUUCUAAAAAAAAGAUCAGGUCUUAGCAUUCUUUGGAAAUUCUACCUGUCCAUCCAGACCCAACUUAAAUCUUAUUAGUUCCACAAAUUCUUACCUGUUUCCCUUCAGCAGAAAAUCAUUUGUCUUUCAGUGCUUUUAUGGCUUGCUUUGUUUAAUCCUUUAUAUUUACUACACAUUCACUGUUAAAGGCAGCACAUGCAAAGGCAAAGAGAUAAAAGAUCUCAUGGCUUUGUCACUUAUUAACAGUCUAACCCUGUGUAAGUACACAAUGUCUUUGAGCCUUUCUCAUCUGUAAAAUGCUUUCAUGGCUGUUGUGAGGAGCCUGCGAGUAAAUGGAUGCAAAACCAUUUGCUUCCAGGAUGGUGCAGAUAUUUAUUAUUUAAAGAAAUAGUUUGGGGAUUGAAAGACUGGGUUUCUAAAUCUUUGUCUGCCACUUGGUAAUUUAUGCUGUGGCAGUGGGUAAGUUACUGUUCUUCCUUGUUCAGGCAUGUUGCAUGCUCUGUUAGUUUUCUGUAGUUGCUGUAACAAAUUACACAAACAUAGAAGCUGAAAACUAUAUAAAAUUAAUGUCUCACAGUUCCAUAGGUCAGCGUGAGUGGGCUUCUUUGAUGUCUCUGCACUGGGUGGCCUGGUCUCUUACCUGGAGGCUCUGGUUGAGAAUCCACUUAGAGGUUCAUUCAGCUUGUUGACAAAAUUCAGUUCCUUGCAGCAGCAGGGCUGAGGUCCCAGUGCCCUUACUGGCUGUUAGCUGGGAGCCUCUCAGCUCUUCAAGGCUGCCUGUAUUCAUGUUCACAGUGCCUCUCCCAUUUUCAAACUGACAACACCUCACUGAGUGCUGCUCAGCUAAAUCUCUCACUCUCCCUUCUGCUGCCUCUCUUCUGCCUCAGCUAAAGAACAUUGUCUGUUUUCAAGGCCUCAGGUGAGUAGAUUGGCUCCACCUUGAUAAUCCAGGCUUCUCUCUGUGUCUUAAGGUUACCUUACCUGUCCUUGGAUAAUUAGGUGUAACUUUCGUUACAUCUGUAAACUGUCCUUUUGCCUUGUAAAAUUACAUUUCACAGGUACCUAGAUUAGGGAGCGGACAUCUUUGGGGGGAUUUCUACCUACUACUUGUGGAUACUAUGUGUGUGCGGUCUGGGAAGACUGGUGCAGCCCAUAUACAAGAGCUACUCAACAGCCACUGGCGAAUCGGUUGGCCUGUUGCUAUGGUUUAUGAUCGACCAAUCAGGCUGUUACCCAGGAGGUACUUCGUGCUUCAGGUUACUGGUAGGGAUAACCCAAAGCAGAAGCAGCGUUUUAUAGUAGUUUCUCUGUGUAACCGAUUCUAAUUGCUAUAUGCAUAUAAACAGGGAAGAGACACCAAAGAUACAUCCACAUGUAAAGAGUGUGAAUAAAUAAGAAUAUUCUAUUCAUUAUUCUUAGAACUUUUGUUUUGAGGCUUUCCUAACUUCUUUUGAUAAAUUAUCUUAUUUUAUCUCAUUAUUGUUCCUGUUUUACCAAUCACUGUUCUGAACUCACUAGGGGUAUGUAAGGUGUCCGAUAUUAUAAGACUACUAAAAAUCUUGAAUGAGAAAUAAUUGUAAGUUGUGUUUGUUCUCCCUAUGUCAUCGCAGCUAUCAUGUGGAAAUUAGGAGCCAGACUGCUUAGGUUUGACUUCCCUCUCUGCCACUUAUGUGUCCAGUGACCUUGGGCAGUAACUUCACCUUUCUGUACUUCAGUUUCCUCAUCUGCAAAAUAGGGGUUAAAAUAGGCUCUACCUCAGAAGAAUUGUUAUUGAGGAUUAAGUCGAAUUGUGCCUAGUUCAUAGUGCUAAAAAAGUAUUAGGAUGAUUAUUUUAAUUUAACCAUUUGUUUCAACCAUUGUUUCUCAACUGGGGCUAUUUUGCCCUCCCGCAGCCUUUGCCAGGAGACAGUUGGCAAUGUCUGGAGAUAUUGGCUAUCGCAUCUGGGGAUAUGUGCUACAGAGCAUCUGAUGGGUAGAGACUAGGGAUACUGAUAAACUUCCAGCAGAGCACAGGACAACUCCUACAGCAAAGAAUUAUCUACCCAAAAUGUCAACAGUGCUGAGGUUAAGAAACCAUGUUUUAAAUCAGUGCCCUUUUAUGGUUUUAGUAGCAACUUCAUUUGCAAAUAAGAUAAUCACGUUUAAUUAGUGACUUUUAACACUGAAGAUACUCAUGCCUGACAGACAUGGGGCUCUGGGUUUACAGUAAAAUAGAGAAAACAUUUUCUGGUGUUAAAAAGACAAAUCUUUGUGUAUCUAUUUUUAUAUGUAACAGAUUCUACAAGGGUGUGCUUAACCCCUACAAUACACAAUUAGGGGUUAGAAAUACUCGGUUCCUGUGAAAAAUUGAGUGAAAUUUUUAAUUUUCUUCAUUUCCUAAUUUUCCAGUGAGCUUUCUUCUGGAGAUCUUAGGAAGGAAAUUCUUUGAGUUUGGGGAUUUGCUGUUGCAAUUUACAUUGAAACUCAGUAAUAGGCAAGAUAAGUACCCAUUGUAGUUACCUAUUUUGAAUUUACCUUUAUUGUAGUGUAUUGUUUGGAAACCCUAAAUGAUUUUACCAGUGUCAUUUUUAUUUCUAUUAUAUAAGGCUUGUGUAUUUGCUGUUUUCAUUCCCUCCCAUUCCCUUCUUAUACAUAAGUAAUGACUUAGAAUAUUCUCCAAUUACUUUUUUCUCGCUAUCAUCCCUCUCCCCUGUCACCUCGGUCUCAAGUUUAACUAAUUGAGUUGUCUUUCUCACUAUCCAUUUGUCUCAGAAUUUGUUCUUCUGAUGCUUGGGUCAGUUAGUCAUCAAUACCUGAAUUACCACUGGGUACAGAGAGCUGAUUAGCCUGACAUCCUGGGAGGGAAAGAAAAGAAUCUGGGUACAUUCCCAUAUCUUCCACUGUGUUUUGUACCUGGAGAAACAUAACCACAAGACACAAACACAGCAGUAGCUUGCAGAUCUGAAUUGUUGUGGCUAAAGCAGAAGGAAACUGACAUGCUGAGCACCAAUUAGGUACUCAAAAAUACUUAAUAAUGGAUUUCAUGUUACGUAAGACAGUUGCUAAGUAUUGGUAAAAUACAUGAUUGUGAUCAUGUUAUAAUGGAAAUAUAUUUUUCUUCUAGCUAACAAAUUCUUGGUUUUUACAAAUGUCAGCAAAAAGGAAGUAUUUGCUGAAGUGAGGAUGACAUCUACUCCAUUCUUUUUGGGUCAUUAUAUUACAACUUUGAAUCUACAGGUACAAAGAGAAACACCCAGGCACUUCAUUUAAAAGGAGCAAACAAAACAUUUUCCGUACAAACCAUAUCGGCCAUACUUUGUCAUCAGGGCUAGAAACUGGGAAAAACAGAUAACAACAGAAUUACAUUUUUUAAUGUGGUCUUUUGUUAAACUUCACAGGUUCAUUUUUGUGGCACUUUCUAGAAGUGGUGGAACAGUGAUAACUACUUCUUCACAGACUUCAUGAUUAAGAGGAAUUCGGUUUAAGUAUAAUUGGCAUCUUUCAAGGGUUUGGACAAAGUCCAGCUUGUUUCCUAUGAUCUCAGGCUGUUAGAAUAGAGACCCUUAUCUGUCCGCAGCUACCUCACUGUAGACUUGGUUACACCCUUGAGCACCGUGUUAAAAAUCAAGCUACAUAAUAGUUGAAAACUAGUUAAAGCCCCCCUUCAAUUUUGAAAUGACUAUUACCCAAAUCUUAUUUUGCCACUUCAUUAUUUAAAGUCUUGUGCUGAAGACAUUUUGGAAAAACUCUUAGCUUUACUUUGCUACUUCAUUAUAGCAAAACUAUUAGCUUUACUAGUGAAAUGUGGAGGAAUGCCUAAGUUUCUGUAUCAGGAAUGACUUGAAUUAGGGGAGGAUACCUUGAAUUAUAAUGAAUCAGCAUUUAAAUAUGUUACUCUAUAGAAAAAACUUGUAAAUUGGAUUAUCUCAGUGGCAACCAUCACAGCAUUGUGCUUCUAGUCUUGUGGAACUGUACAUGUAUCGUGGCAUUUUAUUUGGUGGACCAGGCCAAUGGCUAAUGGGGCCCACAGACUAGAGACCAUGCAUGCUAGGAAGGCAGUUCCUUUACAAGGGAUGGUUACUAAUAAUCCUGAGAAUAGAGUUGAGGCAUGAGUCUGGGUUGCAAAGAAUAUCAGCGAAGUAUAUCGUGUUAGUCAUGGAUCUGAGUGGAACAGAGCCCAGUACCCAAAGAUCCAAGUCAGAGAAAGGAGAAAAAGCAGAAGUGGAAUCAGAAUUGAAGCUCUUAGUAACACCGAUAAGAGUCAUGGACAUACAGCUGUGUAAAGUUUAGCCACUGGUGGAUAGGAAUGAAAUGUAGUGUUGACCACGUAGCUGUAGAUGCUCAGAUGUUUGUGGAAGGAAUGAACAGUUUAGCUGGGCACAGAGCAACAGGUGGGAAUGGAGUUGGAAUUGGAGUCUGUAAAGUCCAGUACUGGAACAGGCAGGCAGUCACACCCGAGGCCACUCUGACACCCGCACCUUUGCCCAGCUUCUUUCCUGGGCAAACAAAGAUAAACAUUUACAGGCCAUGCAUUUGAUCCAUUAGAUCAGGACCUUGGAUCUUUGUCGGUGAAUUCAAAGGUGAGUAAUUAGUUGCUGAAAGGGCAUCCAUCUUCUAAGACAGGGCUAAGGAAGCAGGUAGGAUGGACAGAUUCCUCUUAAAUACUGACAGAGCAUCCUGGGAGAAGGCAAAAUAUUCUGCUAGUUCUGAGGAACAUUUUAAACAAGGAUAUUUUAAAUCAAGUUAAAGAGUCCUAAGCCAAGGACAGUAUUUUAUAUUCAGUGCUUGGAAGGUAUUUUCUGUCAACUGUAGAAGGUCAUACUUCUCUAUUUGGAACAACAGUCUCGUUUCCAGAAACGAAGGAUAUGGAAUUCUAAUAUUGUACAAACAAUGAGAAGAAAAUACAUGGUAGAAGAGAGUCAGUUUAUAUGGAAAUUGAUAGUUGAAGAUCACAAGUAUACUGACCUUUUUAAACCAGAUUUGGUGUCGUUAUAAUAAAACAUAGGAAAAGUUGUAUUCUUGUACAUAUAAAUAUAUAGACAUAUUUGAGGAAGAGAAGUUUUACACUGAGAAAAAGAAAUUGUAACUCAGCUGUGUAACUCUAUAAAAGUAGACAACAAAUAUUUCAACUAGUGUGACUAGUUUUACUAACAGGAAGCAUAGUAUUAAGUAAAAAUACCUUUUACAUGUUUUUUUUUUUUUUUUUUAACCAGAGGCCUUUUCAGAUAGCUUAAGCUAUGUAAUAUAGUUAACAAUAAUGGGAUGCAAAUAUUAGAGUAAUUCAGUUUUUACCAGCACUGUGGCUAAAUUCUAUUAUAGAAGAUACCUUAACUAAUAUUUGAGAUUUUCAUUCAAAAAUAUAACAUAGUCAUCUUUAAUGGCACUACUUACUUGAAUAAUUUAUUCCACUUAGAAGAAAUAUUUUCCUUUUUUCGAGCAAGGUGGAGGAAAAAAACUCACAUUCUUCAAUAAAGUUACUGUUUUCUAGGUGAAUCCAGAAACCCUGAUUACAUACCUAUUAUUUUUUUAACCACUUAUGGCUCUCCCCAUAACCCCUGCAACACAUUAGCCAUUUAAAGCUUGGACAGAGGACUCCGGUACCAUAAUUUCUUUGAUAAAUUGUAUUAUUUAUUAUUUUGCAACUAUUCAGAUCAAACCUUUGGAGUAGUUUCAGCUAGCAAACAAUAUUGUGAAAGUAAAUAAUGCAAAGAAAAACUUCCUGUUUCCCCUAAUUGGAGGUAUGGCUUAAGUCCAGUUCUGAUCUGAUCACUCAAAAAACAACCAAAGGAGAGCUACUGAAAUGUCAAAUUCAUUAGUGGUGUUUGGUCUAUGAGUUAAGUAGCAAUAACCUUAGUUUCAACUUAUAGCUGAGGGGCAGGCCAUGGUUGUCCAUUCCAUCAGAAUGAUGCCUCUGUGGUGCUUCUGAGUUCACACUCAUUUAUGGUAGCAGAAUGGCCACUCUGACAGCUCAUCUACCCACAUCUUGCCUUCAUUUAGGGCAGAAAGAAGAGGUAAAGCAGAACUACCAACAGACGUCAGCGAAUAUCUCACUUGCAGAACUUUGUCACAUAGCCACCUCUAGCUGUGGAGAGGCUAGGAAAGCACACAUUUGGCUUUCGUAUCUUAUGUUCUAGAGACAAGCAAGAGAGAAGGAGACUUGGGUGUGGUUAAACCAACCUAUAUUAUCUGCAAUAUGUAGAAUAUAUAUUCAUUUUUCCCCAUUUUUAUUAUUGUUUUUCAUCUUUGUGUCAUCUUUUUAAACAGUAAAAUAAUUUGACUUCUGCUAAUAAACUUGGCAUCUUUUUUUCCCUUCUUCUUAGAUUUAUAAAGGUCUUUGCCUGCUUUUUAAGCUGUAAAACAGCUGAAGAAAAUUGGAAGUCAUUUGUACCCAAAGCUAAUACUAAGCAAUGCAGUCUACUUUAACAGGUCACUGAAUUUGGCAUAUAUUUAAUUCUGGGCACUUGCCAUCCUGCAACAGAAAGAAUGAUUAUUAUCUUUUUCUACCAUUCGGGGGAAAAAAAAAAAAAAACAAACCCAGGCUUUGUCAGAUUUUAAAGCUUUCACAGAAUGGUUAGAGUAUGCAUUUUCAAGCCCAGGAAAUACUUGCCAUCACUUACAAAACAUUUCAGAUGAUCUUCUGCCCAUAGAGAAUCAUAGUUUAUAGACUGGUGAUAAUACAAGCAUAUGAGAUGUUAAUGCUUACUUUAAAAAUCAUAUCACUUACAGUCCAAGAUAAUUGUUUUCCAUCUUCAGUAAAAGUCUAAAAGAAGCUAGUAGAAAGAGCAUUGAAAAAUAAUCAGUAUCUCUUUACUUUUUUUUUUUUUAAUGAAGGUGUUUAGUGAGAACUCUGAUGCUGCCAAUUUAGGAGCAAUUUAUAGAGUGCUACUGACAUUUAAAUACAUUUUGAGCAAGAUGUCUUUUUUCAGUAGCCACAAAACAAAAUUAUUAGGGUGUUCCGUUGGUGAUAAAAUGUCAUCUGCUGUGAAACCAAGAACAAAAUGAGCUAACACUAUAGGGUGUCCAAAUAAACACAAACUAACAUUUUUCAAAGGAAGGAAAUUUUAGAUGUUAAAAUUAAUGUAAAGCAAAAUUAUUUUUCAUUGUAUGUAAGACAUCUUUAUCCUACAGGGCACUAGAAGCAAGAGGUAGUCUCAUUUUCAUUUCAAUUCCUUAAUCUACCAAUAUAUUUAAUGUUUCUCCUCUAUACCAGCAAGGUUUUCAAAAAUAGAAAAAUUAAAAGGUGGUUUUGCAUGUCAUGUUUCUGAAAGUCUUUAUUAAAAAGUUUAAUUUCUCUAGAAUAAUUAAAUAGGUAAUAGAAAACAUACAAAGAUGUCUAUCAGUGACGCAUGAGUUAAUAGUUUUUUGGAAGUUUAUUUGGAAGGCAAAGUCCCCAGAUUGCAUGGGUCAUAUGUUUACCUCAGGACAGUGUACAAGUCAGUAUGUCAUAGGCUUCAGAGUCAGCCCAAAUUGAGAGCCAACCUCUCCCACUCAUCAGAGGCCUGACCCUGCAAAAAUUACAUAACCUAUUGAUUUCUUCAUCUGUGCAAUGAGAAUCUCAGUCAGGAGACUGACUAUCUUCUUGCAGGGUUGUUAUGAGGCACUGAGAGAGUAUGUAGGUGCUUCACAUAUUUCCUGACAUAGAAGUGUUCAGUAAAUGCUGGUUCUAUUAUUAAGGAUGAUAACAAAGUGCCAUGUGUGACACACCAAUUAUGGAUAAUGUCUUAUAGAAUCACUAGUUGCUACCCCAAGAGUAUAUUAGGAACCAGCACUUCUGAUAUUUAGUAUAUAUAAAUAUUACUUUUCACAAGUAACUUAUAAUACCUUUUAAUACAACAUUUUUUAUUAUUGCUGUGCCCAGAUAGUAGUGUCUAAAACUGUUACCUCCAGAAUAUAGAAGGAUUACUUUCAGAAUCAAAUGAAAUCAUGGAUUCUGGGAUGGUAAUGGGCAUCCCAACUAUUAAUAAUGGUCAAAUUUUAAGGAUAAUCAUUUCAGAAGGUUUAAAAAUUAUUUUCCUAUACCAUGUGACACUUAUAACUAAUACAUUUUUUAUGAAUUCUACCUUCAAAUAAUAGUAACUUACAAAAUUGCAGUUUAUAAUGCUUUAGCUGGUUUUAAUUUGAAAACAACUGUGCCCUGCCACUUUCUUUUUGAUGGCAACUUUAUUUGUAAUUGCCAAAACUUGGAAGCAAUCAAGAUAUCCUUCAGAAGGUGAAUGGAUAAAUAAACUAUGGUACAUCUAGACAAUGGAAUAUUAUUCAGUCUAAAAUGAAAUAAGCUAUGAAGCCAUGAAAAAUCAGAUAUGGAGGAACCUAAAUAUAUAUUUACCAAGUGAAAGAGACCAAUCUGAAAAGGGUUAUACUGUAUAAUUCCAACUCUGUGAAAUUUUGGACAAGGAAAAACUGGGGAGACAAUAAAACGAUAAGUGGUUUUCAGGAGUUGGGUGGAGGGUAGGGAUGAAUGGCGGGAGCACAGAGGAUUUAACGGCAGUGAAACUCUUCUGUAUGACACUAGAGCAGGGGAUACAAGUCAUUAUGCAUUUGUCAAAGCCCACAGAAUGUACAACAACAAUGAACCCUAAUGUAAACUGUGGACUUUGGGUAUUUAUGAUAUGUCAUGUAGGUUCAUUGAUACAGCAGAUGUCCCAUGCUGGCACAUGAUGUUGAUAGUGGGCAUGGUUGUAUGGUGUUCAGGCAAGGGAGGUAUAUGGACAAUCUCUGUACUUUCUGCUCAAUCUCACCGUGAACCUAAAACUGCUCUAAAAAAUAAACACUCAAGGCUCCUGGGUGGCUCAGUUGGCUAGGUGUCCAACUUCAUCUCGGGUCAGGAUAUCGCAGUCUGUGGGUUCGAGCCCUGCGUCUGGCUCUGUGCUGACCACUUGCUCAGAGCCUGGAGCCUGCUCCAGAUUCUGUGUCUCCCUCUCUCUCUCUGCCCUUCCCCUGCUCAUGCUCUGUGUCUGUCUGUCUGUCUGUCUCUCUCUCUCUCUCUUUCUGUGUCACUCAAAAAUAAAUAAACAUUAAAAAAUUUUUUAGAGAUAAAGUCUCUUUAAAAAAUAUACACACAGAAGAAAAAAAGGAAACACCUGUGCCCUGUAACCCUCUUGCUAGCUGAAGCAGAACAGGGUUUGACAUCUAGGGCUAGUUUGUUUACUUAAAAAAUAAUAAGAAAAUAAUAUACUAAAAAAAAUAAAUAUCUGAUUUUUGCCCAUUUUUAUAUAAAAUUAAAGCUAAUUUUUUUCAUUUAUCAUUAAUUAUGUUCUAACUCAUGGUAUUUGUAAAGUUUAAAAAAGGAAUAUUAAAUAACAAAUAAAAGGUUAUCUGUCUUUAUGAACUUGACAAACCCAUAAACAAAUCCCUUGAAGAGAGUGUAUGUCAGUUCGAAAAAAUCAUUGUGUCACUAAUGCAAAAAGGUAAAUGCAGUGAAAAUUUGAAACUGUAGAAUGACAUGCAUGAGUUAAAAAGAUGUUUGGACUUGCUUUUUUAUUACAAAUAUUGAAACUUUAAAAAAUCUUUUGAGAUGAGACACUCCAUGAGAAUAGUAUUUGUUUUCUAUGGAAUAAUAUUUCAGAUCUCCAUCUUAGAAUAAAGAGAGCUUCGUGAUAUCCCAGCAGGGGAUACCAGUUUAGUCUUGAUGGCUAGCAAAGUUCUGUAGCUGCUGAUGCUUCCCAGUUUGGAAAACCCUUACCAACUCUGCCUGGGGACCAAGCAGGGAAGAUCGGCUGGUGUCCCAUUGACCACAGAGGUCUUAGCAGGGGUAAUCUAAUGAAUGCAAUUUUAGGUCAAUUAAAAACCAAUCAGACAGACCCAAAACCCUGAGGUUGAACCUUUGAACUUGAGUGACAACUUCUGUGUUAAGAGACCAUAGACAUUAAACACAAGACAGAUACUUUUGAUGAGGAAAUAACUGCAAGUGAUAGGCCCUGGGCUGAUGCAGAGCUCAUUGAUGUAGAAAACCUUCUCAGUAAUCUCAGUAAUAGUGCUUCUUUCCAGAAAAGGAAGGUACUAUAUAUUCACAUAUCAACAAACCUUUUCUUAGCCUCCAACUUUUUUUUAUAAGUUUUUUUUUUAACGUUUAUUUAUUUUUGAGAGACAGAGAGAGAUGGAGCAAGACCAGGGGAAGGGCAGAGAGAGGGAGACACAGAAUCCAAAGCAGGCUCCAGGCUCUGAGCUGUCUGCACAGAGCCUGAGGUGUGGCUUGAACCCAAGAACCUGACCUGAGCCAAAGUCAGAUGCUUAACCAAAUGACCCACCCAGGCACCCCCUAACCUCUAACUUUUGAGAUGCUAACGUACUAUCCCUUAGAAUAUUUUAGAGACAUGUAUUGAACGUUUUAGUCAAGUUUGGGGGUUCUUUUUUUUGGUUUGAGGGUUUUUGUUUCUUGUUUGCCCUGUACCCUCUUCCACUUGAUAACUGCACAGAAGUUUUAUAAAAUAAUGUAGAAUUUUGGUCACAAAGAAAGAGAACCAUUAAAAAUCAUAUGAUCGAGUUCCCUGAGCUGGAUCUAGAAAAACUGGCUCUUUCUUAGGGAAUGAGAUACUUAGAAAAAGGACAGUCUGUCCUCACAAGUAGCGAUUAACUAGAAUUCUCAUUUUUUAAAACUGGCUUUAUCAGGCAUUCUGACUCUUUCUAAAGAGAUUGCUACUGCUAACCACUCUUUCAGUUCACUGGGGAAUUAAUGCUCAGUGGCCCACUGGGGUUCAUACAAUAGCAUUAAAUAAUUACUCCUCCUUUAUGUAUCUCCUGCUGUCUUAAAAAAGUAAGUAUACUAAAAUUGGCUGUGCGAGAACUCAGGACAUCUAACUGUGAAGAAAAUAUGCACACAUAUAUAUCCACUCGGUGGUUAAGAGGCAGCUUCAAGUACUCCGUAACAAGCAAAUUGUUCACACAGAGACAAGAAAGAAAAGGAGCGAAGAAAAACUGGCCACAGUAGCCCAAGUGGUGGUGAUAAAGCUCAGGAACUAGUGGAGCUGAAGGGAGCAGGUGUAGGUACAGUCUGCAGCUUGGUGUGAAGGAGAGGGAUCCACAGUUCUCCCUAAAUCCAGUGACAAGCAUGGUGGCCAUCUUUUCUGCGCAGUUAGCCCCCAGCACUAGGAGGACAAGAGCAGGGAUAAGGUGGAGGGAGCCCUGAUAUGGAGGGGAAGGAAGGUCAUGAAGGAUGCAAGGCAGGCGGGGAGAGGCGGUGCUUCAAGCUUCUUUCCUUGAGCUGACUCACAAACCCGGUUUGAUUUGGUGAAUGCAUUUGGUGCCAGGCCUGGCCGUGUCUCCUUAGACCCCAGAUAGGGCCGCCCUGUGUGCCUGGAGCAGUGGGAGAGUUGUCUUAAGGUUGACAAGCAGAAAAAAAAAAAAAAAAAAAGUUGAGGCUCUCUUAAAUGUUGUAGUGGCAAGAAUGAGAACUGGCGAGUUUAUAGCCUUACUGCUCCUCUGCGCUGUGCUUGGCCUCAGCUUUCUCAUCUGUAAAAUGGGGUACUCAUACCCCAGAGGGACAUUGUGAGGUAAAUUGUUAUCAAGUUCCCCCUCAAGGUGCCUUGUGGUAGAUGAUUGACAAAGUUAAGCCACUUUCUCCUUUUCAGCUCCUGCAGUUUCAUUUGUAAAACAGAGCAUUUAGAAUUCUAAAUGCUUUCUAAAAUGUGAAAUCCGGCAGAAGAGAAUUGCUGAGAAGUGUAUGCGUUAUGGUUUACACAUCUCAGGUCUCAAGACCUUGCUAAUUCCACUAAUUCUUGGCAAAGAGACGCCAGCAAAGGUGAGGUCAGGACAGUCCAAGAGCAGGCAGUGAGGGC